rnacentral:rRNA from 1 species
AUUGAACGCUGGCGGAAUGCUUUACACAUGCAAGUCGAACGGCAGCACGGGGGCAGCCCUGGUGGCGAGUGGCGAACGGGUGAGUAAUACAUCGGAACGUGCCCGGUCGUGGGGGAUAACGUAGCGAAAGUUACGCUAAUACCGCAUACGAUCUGAGGAUGAAAGCGGGGGACCUUCGGGCCUCGCGCGAUCGGAGCGGCCGAUGUCAGAUUAGGUAGUUGGUGGGGUAAAGGCCUACCAAGCCGACGAUCUGUAGCUGGUCUGAGAGGACGACCAGCCACACUGGGACUGAGACACGGCCCAGACUCCUACGGGAGGCAGCAGUGGGGAAUUUUGGACAAUGGGCGUAAGCCUGAUCCAGCCAUUCCGCGUGCAGGACGAAGGCCUUCGGGUUGUAAACUGCUUUUGUACGGAACGAAAAGGCUCUGGCUAAUACCUGGGGCUCAUGACGGUACCGUAAGAAUAAGCACCGGCUAACUACGUG